UACGUAGGUGGCAAGCGUUGUCCGGAUUUACUGGGCGUAAAGAGCGCGCAGGCGGUCGUUUAAGUCGAAUGUGAAAGCCCCCGGCUCAACUGGGGAGGGUCAUUCGAUACUGAUCGACUUGAAGGCAGGAGAGAGAAGUGGAAUUCCCGGUGUAGUGGUGAAAUGCGUAGAUAUCGGGAGGAACACCAGUGGCGAAGGCGACUUCUUGGCCUGUUCUUGACGCUGAGGCACGAAAGCCAGGGGGAGCAAACGGG
rnacentral:rRNA from 1 species